UGAAUAUCAGUGUGUGCAAGUAUGUGUGUGCGCGACGUCUCGAAAACAGAUGAAUGUAAACAGUACAGUCGGUUAACAGUCGAAUAUGGAAGAAAGUAACAGACUGGUAUGGAAGAAGGAAUUCCAUUGGGCGAUUUAACAAAACAAUGGAGAAGAAUCGUUAGAAUAAUCAUCGCUGCUCAAAGCAAAGGCAUUUCUCGCGAAGAAAAUGUGCAGUUCCAGGGGUGAGACAGAUCCUUGAACACGGUUCAAAGCAGAAUUGCCGAAGCAGAAGAAUCAACGGGAGGAAGUUUUCAUCGACGAAGGGAAACGGAAGGAAAUGUGGCUGUUAGUUGUUCCGGCCGAAACGGGAUGCAUCGAAGAGUGGCCGCGGCAACGGUGCGAGAAUCGGGGAAGAACGAGAAGUAAGAAGUAGAGCCAACCCAAAGGGAAAAGGACGAAAAAACGGAGAGAAAGAGAGAGAGAGAGAUGGCAUAGAGAAGCCAGCGGAAGGCGGAAAACAAGGGAAAAUAAAGCAGCGGAAGAAUCGCGUCGCAGGAAAAAGAAUGAGGGCGCUGUCAGCUGGUGGAAAUUAUUCUGAUUAUGCUAAUUCCGGUUCUGUUCCACUCCUUUACCCAGCCGUUCCCCAGACCCAUUGCCUCCCUGCUGCUGUCUGCGCCAUCUUUCAUGGCUGAUAUUUAUAAUAUAGGGGUGCCCGAGCAGUUUCAAACUCUUUUUGGCCCCCGAGCUCGCAACCCCCCUCCCCACCCUCGACCAUCAUUUGGCCCUCCAUCGAGAACCACCCCACGGCACGCUCCACUGUCUUCGGGCUUUUCGAUAAAUUUAUUCAUAUUCCAAGGAAAAUUUCGUCGCUAGUCUCGAGAGAACUCGGUCAACUAGAGCCUCUGGUCCCGCAGCACGCGAGCUUAGCCGCGAUUUACCUUUGAAAAUCUAACCGCGACCACUUUCUUAGCCCACCAUCCUGAAAACACAGCCAUUAUCUAUGAAAGAGGAGAUUUUUGCAUAGUUCGUAAUAGCGUAAUGGUGUAUUUUCUUUUUCUAGGUUAGGUUUUCUAGGUUAUCUCGUUGCUCGAAAUUGAGAAGAGUGGGGAUGGAUUUGGAAAUGAAAGAGCGAGACACAUAGCCGCAGCGCUUAGCGUGCACGUUCGUAAUCUUCCUCUCAAGGUCGUAAGUUUUCCUUUUUAAUUAAAGGUGCUUUCUAUUCAUGUCCGGAGACUGGCACGCCCACGGUUAAACCUACGCUACGUUAUUUUACGCUUCGUGGAAAAUCUUCCUUUCCUCUGAUAUUGUCGUUCGAUCGUUUUGUUUGCUCCGCUAUAAUUUACAGCAUAAAAUUCAUAGACGACAGAUUGAAAGAAUCUGACACCGAAUCGAUCGGGACGGCAAGGCAUUAUGGACAGUUUAAAGGGACGAUCGUCAAACACUCGUGGUCUGUCGUCUUUGCAAACAUGAAUAAAAUACACACGUACAACGAUGAUUAAAUAGCCUUGUGUUUGCUCGGGGAAUAAGCGCAUCUAUCUCGCUUUACCCUCUGUUAACUCUUCGAUAAAAAGUGACACAGUCAUAUUUGAUUUCUUAUUACACCUCCCACAAGCCAGUCAAUACGGUUUUCACAUAAAACCAAUAAGGAGGAUUUGCUUGCUCGAAGAAGGAUGUUAAUGUGAUCUUAAAAUAUUUUCUAUUUUUCCCUUUUUUUUAUUUUAGUUCAUAUACAGACUACGGAUGUUUAGGUAAAUUCAUAUUUUUAUAAGAAACUUUAUUUCAUACGUUAAAUGCAUAAUGUUAUAACUAUUGUACAAUAAAUACUAUAUUUUGUACGUUUUUCAGCAAUAUAUGCAGUGGCACAUGCAUCACAGGACGUUUCAAUACGAAGAUGCCUGACAUGGUUGUUUUGCCACAGAGGAUUAACACUGUACGGCGCGCAUAAUGUAAUAAACAAACUCUGGACAAAGCAAUUUCGCUGUUACGUGCAAUCUACAACCGGCGACAACUUCAAAUCUCCCGGUGCCUCCCCUUCGCCAACAUAAAUAGACGACCGUGUUCUCCAGACACAGUCAGUCAGUCGAGCGAAUAAAUAUGAAAAAUCAGUGUAGCAAAUCAGCAUAACAAUUAGUAUGAGUAGCGCAGUAUCAAGCGAGCAACGAUUGCAAUUAACUUGGUAUUCUACAUUUUAAAAUAUCUGCAAAUAUAGUUAAUUAAAUUAACUAUAUUAAUAAUUAACUAUAUUAAUUACUAGUUAAUUAAAUUAACUAUAUUUGCAGACUGGUUGUUGAUUUAAUCAACAACACGUCACACCGUCCACCAGCUAUGUAUUCUAAGCAUUUUUUAAUAUUCCAUAAAUCUGUAUCUAUUGCUUUGAAACACAAUAACUCUCUAUUCCGUACGUUAAUUAAUAAUUUAUUGUAAUAGACAAGACUAUCAAGUAGCGACUCUAAAAUUGUUUAAAAUAAUCAUUACUUCAGUAAAAUUGUAUACUGUCCAUCUAUAUACAUUCCAUUCGCACGUAUUUCUAUCGCCAGCCUAUUUAGCAUGUCGAUAUAACGUUAAGAGGAUUGUAGGGCCCUUUGUUACUACGUUCGUGUUUACGAAAUUUGACCUGAUUUUAGGUAAUAUUAUGCCUGUCUUGCUGACGUAUUCAUAUACCGGGUCUUGCUUAAAUUGUGAUAUUCCUUAAUGACAAACUAGCUUUAACCCUCUGAGUGCUGUGGGCGCAUAUAGGCGUCUGGCAAAAGCUAUCGGUGUGGACUAAGGACAUAUAUAUGCGUUUCCUGUAAGCGC